GAUGAGCGCUGACAGAAUGCUUAACACAUGCAAGUCAACUUGAAUUUGGGUUUUUUAACUUAGAUUUGGGUGGCGGACGGGUGAGUAACGCGUAAAGAACUUGCCUCACAGCUAGGGACAACAUUUGGAAACGAAUGCUAAUACCUGAUAUUAUGAUUAUAAGGCAUCUUAGAAUUAUGAAAGCUAUAUGCGCUGUGAGAGAGCUUUGCGUCCCAUUAGCUAGUUGGAGAGGUAACGGCUCACCAAGGCGAUGAUGGGUAGCCGGCCUGAGAGGGUGAACGGCCACAAGGGGACUGAGACACGGCCCUUACUCAUACGGGAGGCAGCAGUGGGGAAUAUUGGACAAUGGACCGAGAGUCUGAUCCAGCAAUUCUGUGUGCACGAUGACGUUUUUCGGAAUGUAAAGUGCUUUCAGUUGGGAAGAAAAAAAUGACGGUACCAACAGAAGAAGUGACGGCUAAAUACGUG
rnacentral:rRNA from 1 species